GUUUUCUGAGACUGCAUCCACUUUGAGAGUUUCUACUGAGUCCAAAUUAGAACACCCCAGCUGGCGGACUGUCUCCUAGGAAGCCCUCGGAGAGGAGCAGUGCAUAGGGGGCACCUGGACACCCCCCGCCCCGAGUAAUGUCAGGCAGCCUUGUCUAUUUACAUCUUUUCACCCUUUCUCGGGAAGCUAUCAGACGAUGUGCUCCCCCAGAAGUAGUCCCAGGAAAAAGGAGACAUGGGAUACAGGGAUCCUGAACCCGGGGGAGGACAAGGGAGUUCCUGGGAGGACAGCUGUGCUCCCGCCUAGCAAUAGCGAGCAGCCAGUCCAGACUGCGGCUGUGACUCAGAAGACAGACAUGCGGAGGGUUAUGAUCACAGAGUAACGAUGGUCCUUGUACAUGAUAAAAAUGCUCGGGUGUGCCCAGGUUAAAGAAGAUGAAAGGCCCUGCUUCCCAGAGCGCCCGGGGUCACUGACCAUCUCUUCCAGGUCUGUUUCCACCCACUGCAGCCGUGACGGAGUCUUGCUCUGUUGCCCAGGCUAGAAUGCAAUGGCGUGAUCUUGGCUAACCACAACUUCCACCUCCCAGGUUCAAGUGAUUAUCCUGCCACACCCAGCUAAUUUUGUCUUUUUAGUAGAGACGAGAUUUCACCAUGUUGGCCAGGCUGGUCUCGAACUCCUGAUAUUGUGAUCAGCCCACCUCAGCCUCCCAAAGUUCUAGGAUUACAGGCGUGAGCCACUGUGCCCGGCCUACCUGGAGCAUUAUUUAAACCUUAAACCU